AAAAAAAAAAAGUUUCAAGUGACUAGGUUUAAUUUCUAAAAGACUUCAUAAACGCUUCUAGACGUACAUACCGACACUAAAUUGCUCAACCUUUUCAUAAGACCUCAUUUUAACCUGUAAUCACUUUCGUUCGUAACUUGACCACUCGAAGUAAAAUUCCUCAAUGCAUCCACGAAACUCCACAAAGACAGCUCAAGUGCUUUUGUGAAGUUUCGCAAACGUAUUGGGGGGGUUGUGAAAAUUUAAAAGGAAUGGAAAGCCAAGCAGCUCAGUGGCAUCAACCUCAGUACCUAUUCAAAUAAUCCCGUCGACAUUACGCUGUUUGAUAAAACCUGCUUUGCCAGUUCUCUGCAUUUUGACGUUGGGUAUCAAUUUUCCUCUUAUAAUCGUCAGGUUGCAGUUCUAGGUCGGGUUUGGGCGCAUUGCAGAUAGCGUUCAUUGUUAUUUGUCGUUUGGCUUACUAACAAGCUUCCCGGGGUUUGUCUGCAGCAGAUUUGAAGUACACACGUGAACAAUACAAGAGCUGCUUGAAGUAUUUGGCAAUCCUUAGUUGUAACAUGCAGCAUUACAAUGAACAAGGUUCCUUUAAUUUAACACUGCCGUUUACCAAUCUGCUGCAAUGAUACGCAGGCAGUCCACAUCAUUUAAAGAUCGUCAUUCAUGCUGACAGGACAAGCCGCCGCUGCUGCAUGUCAACCAAACGAAGAACCCCUCAUAUGAAUAACUGAAGCUAAUCACUGAACGCUAGAGUUGGCCAUUUCUGAUGAAAACUUAAGAAUGUCCACCUCGGGAACGACUUCACUGCCCCUAUAUGAGAUUGACUUGAACUGCUGAUACAUUGUAGGGGAUGUAGAAGUCACUAUUCAAAUUGUCAACAUGUCGUUAUAUCUGAAUAUAUUAAAUAUCAUGUUUGAUUCUUGA